rnacentral:lncRNA from 1 species
AGCACAUGUUUACUGUAGCACACAUUAUCAAAUCAUGGACUAAUUAGGCUUAAUAGAUUCGUCUCGCAAAUUAACCUCCAUCCGUGCAAUUGGUUUUGUAAUACUCCUAAUUAAUAUCUAAACACACAUUCGAUGUGACAGGAAUUUUAGGAGCUCACGAAGAACCAAACGCCCCCAUAUAACAUGUUGGAUGGUGUCUGAUCAUUAGCCUUAAAACAAUAAACUUUAGUUUUAUUAGGUUGAUCAGCCUUAAAACAAUAAACUUUAGUUUUAUUAGGUUCUGUUUGGAUACACAGUGCUAAAUUUUAGCACAACACUUUUAGCACUUGUGCAUCCAAAUGUGUGCUAAAGUUUAGCACAUCCCUCUUCAUUAGCACACCCAAGGGAUGCUAAAACCUGCUAAUAGUGCUAAAAGUGGUCCCUAAGCCCACAUUUUCCCUGAUUCCCCCCUCCCUCUUCUCCAUGCCACACCCCCGCCGCUCUUCCGGUCGACCACCGCCGCCUACCUCACCCUCGCCUCCGCCGCCGCCUACCUCAUCGUCGACCACCGCACCGGCGCGCUCGCGGGGCUGCUCUUCCUCGCCGCCUGGACCGCCAUCCACGCCCUCGCGGCCCGCCUCGGCUUCACGCCUGCUGGAGCACGCCUCUCCCGUCGAGACCCUCACCAGCUGCCUCUGGGGCGUUGCGGCGUUCCUCGCGCUGCCCCCGAUGCCGCCGGAGGCCUCGAUCCCCUCACUCUCGGCGCAGGGCCGGCCGUCGUCAGCUCCAUCGGGUCUAUCUCCGCCUCACCGCACUGCUUCACCGCCACCAAAAUCCGAGCGCGCCCUCCGCUUCGUCAUGGCCCAUGGCACUGGACGCACCCCCUGCCGCUGGUGACGCCACGGCGACCGCUGCGGCGGUUGCCCCCGCCGGCGACGAGAAGGCGAGCGGGUGGCCUAGAUAUGCGAUGGGGGUGGGGGCUCGAGGCUGUGUGCUGCUUGAUCUGCUGGCUUUGUGGGCGGUUUGGCUAAUGGCUAAUAGUGCUUGGCUAAGGGAGCGUUUUCUUCCCGUGUCUUAUUUUUAGCACGUGUCACAUCGAAUGUUUAGAUACUAAUUAGGAGUAGUAAACGUAGACUAUUUACAAAACCAAUUACAUAAGUGGAAUCUAAACGGCGAGACGAAUCUAUUAAGUCUAAUUAAGCCUAAUUAAUCCAUCAUUAGCAAAUAUUUACUGUAGCAACACAUUGUCAAAUCAUGGACUAAUUAGGCUUAAUAGAUUCGUCUCGCCGUUUAGAUUCGUCUUAUGUAAUGGGUUUUGUAAAUAGUCUACGUUUAAUACUUCUAAUUAGUAUCUUAACAUUCGAUGUGACGGGUGCUAAAGUUUAGCAAGUGGAAGAAAACAGGCUCUAAGAGGGGUAGUGGAUUGGGGGCAACGUUGACAUUUUUCCUCAAAGGUGCUAAAGAUUAGCACCCCAUUCAAAUAGCCCUGUGCUAAAAUAAAG